UUUAAAGCAAAAACCAAAAGGAAACUAUAAAAACAGUUUAUAUACUCGUUUGGUGUUUCACAUUCGUAAAUACCUAACAGAGAAACGUACGAGAGUGUCGUGCUUACUGAAAACAUGAUGCCAAAAUACUAGCAUGUUUCUUCCAACGAUAAACUAAUUUGUUAUUCUGUUGCGGAUUUGUUGCUUGUUACCUGAAUGCUACAAAUCUCCUAAAAGAAAUCUAUUUAAUUACAUUAAUUUUGCUAAAAGCAAAAAAUAUGUCUAUUGGUAUAUAUUAACAGGAGUGUGUGUUGUGUGCCUGAAUCUAAAUUAAAUUUAUUUUUUCCAUAAAGGGUUGUUUUCGAUUGGAUGCAAGUUUAUUUAUUUGAUUAAAAGUGUCACAACAUCUAAGGGCGCAGGUCCUUUUUCUACUUGUUAAAGGCUAUAGCCCACAAAGGAUUCUCAGUUACAUUCAGGCAGUGUUUUGUACUACGUUCUCAUUAGAUAUUGAAACAAGAAUGAAAUCGCAACAGAUUGGUUGUAUAGUCCUUACAUUUCUCAUCAUAACAAGUGCAUAUAGUAGAAUGCAACUAAGAUCGUCAUAUGCUGGAUUUGAUAGAAAGACUCUCAAAACGGCAAGAGGGUUUGGAAAACGUUUCGUUUCACCACCUACAGUUAACAAUUUGCUACUAAAAUGGCUAAUGGAAAAUAAAUUAAAGGCACUUGAUCAGAAGAAGAAAAUUACUGGUUACAUUAAAAAUAAAAUAACGUUUUGAUUGUGUAUUUAUUCAUUCACUACU